AUUGCUUCUCCGCCUUUUGGCUACGAUCAAGUGUAGUAUCUGUUCUUACCAGUUUAAAAGUCAUGCCUGUUUUGCAUUCUUUUCCAUGAAACAUUUUAAUUUAUUUUAAUACAAAUAUGCUAU
rnacentral:snRNA from 1 species